rnacentral:rRNA from 1 species
GAGUUUGAUUCUGGCUCAGGACGAACGCUGGCGGCGUGCUUAACACAUGCAAGUCGAACGGAGUCUAAAAAUUACCACUGAGCUCUUAGCUGGUGGCAGAGAAGCGUCAUGGACACGAAGUGGCCAUCACGCGUUAAAAAAGUGCCGACACAGGGCUGAGGCCUGAGUGGUGAUUUUUAGACUGAGUGGCAAACGGGUGAGUAACACGUAGGCAACCUGCCGACAGGAUGGGGACAACAUUCCGAAAGGAAUGCUAAUACCGAAUGAAGUCCGAGAGGGGCAUCCCUCUUGGAUGAAAGAUGGCCUCUGAACAUGCUAUCACCUGUCGAUGGGCCUGCGUCUGAUUAGCCAGUUGGCGGGGUAACGGCCCACCAAAGCGACGAUCAGUAGCCGGUCUGAGAGGAUGAACGGCCACAUUGGGACUGAGACACGGCCCAGACUCCUACGGGAGGCAGCAGUGGGGAAUCUUCCACAAUGGGCGAAAGCCUGAUGGAGCAACGCCGCGUGAGUGAAGAAGGUCUUCGGAUCGUAAAGCUCUGUUGCAGGGGACGAAAACCGGGUUUG